rnacentral:lncRNA from 1 species
GGGGAGAGCGCCGGCGGCGCCCCGCUCCGGCGGCUGCUGGUCCGGCCGCUAGCGCUGAGAGUUCUGUCCUCCUCCCUCCGGGUGGCGCAGGGGGAGGUGGCGGCGGCCGAGGGUCGCGCUGCCCCCUUCCCCGCUUGCCAUUCCCCCUCCCCGGAGGCGGUGGUGAGAGUGACUGGGGCUCAGGGAGGACUGGACUUCGCUGCGGGUGGUCGCCUGGCUUUGGCGCCCCGGGGCUGGGGUCUUCCCGGCAAAGGCCGGCCUCGCCGGUUGUGCAGCUGCCGGCCGGGAGGGGACCGCGCGGGCCAUCGGCCGAGACUUUGCGUGCGGUGGCCGGGUGCUGGGCAGGGGCCGCCGAGGGGUGGCCGCCCAGGGGGAAGGGGCGUGCGGGUGCCUGGAGCGCGGUAGGAGUGGCGGUGGCGGCCCUGGCUGCCGCCGCCACCGCCGCCCUGUUGGUGCGGCCGCUUCCUGAUCAUGUGCAGCCGCCGCCGCCGCCGCCGCCGCCCGGAGCUGGGAGCCCGCGAGCGCCCCAGCCCGGGCCGACGCCCCCGCCAGCACCCGGCAGAAGCAGAGGAGUCGCGGCAGGCGCUGCCCUGUGCCGGGAGUGAACGGCUGCGCGGCGGCUGGGAGGGUGAAUGAAGCCAGGAGGAGGGGAAGGAGGAGGAGGCGGCGGCGGCGGAGGAGGAGGAGGAGGCGCUGCGGGGAUUGGGAUGCGCCCUGGAGCCCCGCUGCUCGCUCACUCCGGGCCGGCCGGAGACUCUGCCACUCCCGUGGCCGCGGUCGCCGCCGCCUCCUUCGUGGUUCCAGUAGGGCGCGCAGGCCGGUCCCGCAGGGGGCAGGGAAGGGGGCCGGCCGGGCGGAGCAGAGGAGCAUUGUGCAACAAGUGAUCACGGUGAUCCAUUCAAGCUGCAGACUCUUCUGUCAUCCUCAUACAGCAGCCUCCUUCUCCACUGCCAUGACAGGAAGCACGUCACUUGUCAGGUCACAGAAAAAGAAAGUGCUGGUGGACAUCUCUUCUUGCCCCAAGAUCUUCGUUGGAAGUCCUCGGGACUUGGUGUCUUUGCUGUUCAAAGUCUUUAAUGAACUCGCCAGGAGAUAUAAUAUGUCACCAUUUUAUUCUGGGCCACCCUAA